rnacentral:sRNA from 1 species
GAUGGUGAUCGCUCACACCAAAGCCUUGGACCCCUCCCGGCCUGUGACCUUUGUGAGCAACUCUAACUAUGCAGCAGACAAGGGGGCUCCGUAUGUGGACGUGAUCUGUUUGAACAGCUACUACUCUUGGUAUCAUGACUACGGGCACCUGGAGUUGAUUCAGCUGCAGCUGGCCACCCAGUUUGAGAACUGGUAUAAGAAGUAUCAGAAGCCCAUUAUUCAGAGCGAGUAUGGAGCGGAAACGAUUGCAGGGUUUCACCAGGAUCCACC